GGGUAACCUGCCCAAGAGAUCGGGAUAACACCUGGAAACAGACGCUAAUACCGGAUAACAACAGAUGAUGCCUAUCAACUGUUUAAAAGAUGGUUCUGCUAUCACUCUUGGAUGGACCUGCGGUGCAUUAGCUAGUUGGUAGGGUAACGGCCUACCAAGGCGAUGAUGCAUAGCCGAGUUGAGAGACUGAUCGGCCACAUUGGGACUGAGACACGGCCCAAACUCCUACGGGAGGCAGCAGAC
rnacentral:rRNA from 1 species